GAAUGUGAGGACAACCUGGCUGUGACAUCUGUCACCCCACUGGUCCCUAGGGUGGAUUCAGCUGAUCUGGCUGGCUACGUUGGUGUCUUCUUCUUCCCUCCAUUCUCCAUGUAUCUCCCUUCCCAAGUGUGCUCAGUCGGAGGACGACCACCCCCGAUAGAGGAAGACUUUGCCUCUGUCAAGGGUAUAAAAGUAGCUCCGCUCCCCUGCUAGGCCCUCCAAACAAGCUCUCACAAAAAACACACAAAUAGAAAUAACAGGAAAGAAAAUACUCACAAAAGAAGAAAGGUAACAAGUGUUUUCAAAGUUCAUAAAAGUGUUG
rnacentral:snRNA from 1 species